rnacentral:lncRNA from 1 species
GCGUCUCGUCUAGAAGCUGCAGCUUGGCCUGUCUCACCUCUACACAGAGGGGCUGCUGGCGCCUGACGGAAAAAGGUCCACACACCCGAUGGCCGGCCCGGGGUGGACGCUGCUGCUACUGCUGCUGCUGCUGCUGCUGCUGGGGUCCAUGGCAGGGUAUGGGCCACAGAAGAAGUUGAACCUGUCCCAUAAGGGCAUCGGGGAGCCAUGCAGGAGACACGAGGAGUGCCAGAGCAACUGCUGUACCAUCAACAGCCUGGCCCCACACACGCUCUGCACCCCUAAGACCAUCUUCCUGCAGUGCCUGCCCUGGAGGAAGGUGAGCCCAAUGGGUACAGAUGCUCGCACGACUCAGAGUGCCAGAGCAGCUGCUGCGUCCGCAACAACAGCCCGCAGGAGUUGUGCACGCCCCAAAGCGUCUUCCUGCAGUGUGUGCCCUGGCGCAAGCCCAACGGCGACUUCUGCAGCAGCCAUCAGGAGUGUCA